GAAACCUCCCGUCCUGCACACAGUGUACACCUGUGCAGGCCAGGAACCAAGGCAUUCAGGCUCUUAAGCACCCCGGGCUGGAACAUACUCUUCUCACAAGGUGCACCUGAGAGCUUUCUGGAGGGCUUUCUCACUGUUUCUGAUGACUCCUAGGAAUGUUCAGGCUUGAGCUCUGGGUGCAAAGAGACCAUGUUCCAAGUCAGUGUCCCAUAACGAAAGAGAAGGGAGAAAAAGGCCAUAACCAGCCUGGCUCCAAAGAGGAUUGGGGGACAGGAAGGAUGGGAGCUCCAGGGAAGUCUGGGCCCCACAUUCCUUUCUGAACUUCCCUCUGAAGCUCCCGGGGUGGGCAGGACCACCCAUCUGCCUAUCAAAGGCUGAAAUUCAGAGCCUGAGCCAAACAGCAAGAAAGGCUUCUUUACCAUGUUAUUUUGCAAAGUAAAUACAUCUUUACAGAGGAGACUUGCUCUUACAAGUCCCCAUACCACCUGCUAUAGAGGUCGAAGGGGAGCUGCUGUUCUCAGGACUAGAUGUUGAUUCAAUCCUGAUGGACUCGAUUAGUGACUGAGUUUCCCAGUGCUUCAGCUGCAAGAAUCUGCCUCAUGCGGGAAGCUUUGUGUGGCAAAUUUCGCAGUCCAGCUCAGAUGGGGGAAACUGCCAGAAGCAUGGUAUGUGGAGGCAAUGGGUUUUACAACGGCCCCUUGCUAAGGAACUGUCAGUCUACCAUCCAGCUGCCUUCUUCGGCCUCCCACUGCUAUUCUUGUUGGGCAACUCUCUGACAUUGCUGUCUGCCUGAACUGUCUCAAAGGGCAAGAUGGCACCAGGGACUCCUCCCAGCAAUCUCUGGCCCUUCUCCUUCCUCUCGCCCAGUAUUCCUGGCCCUUUUUCCUGUAAUCACCAAGCCCAUGAGCCAAGCAAGUGUGCAGCUAUUUUUACUAGAGUGUGAAGGAUUCUCAGGGUAUAAACUAUAUUUAGCAAGGGUUAAAGUUUGCAUUACACAAUCAGUGGGGCACAGGGUUCAAUCAUUAAACAUCCUGGUUUUGGUCUUCCUGCUUCAUUCAUUUACAAAUGGGUUUUUCCAGACCUAACCCUUCUCCUUUCGAUUCAGCCUACAUAUACUUCAAGGUCUUUGUUUCCUUCAAGAAAGGGAAUUCUUUUCUUUUUAUGUCUCAAGUCCCAAUUCUACGGCAGAGAUUUUCUUAUGGCCAUCAGAACCUCUGAUUUAGUAGGAAUCUAUGAAGAAUGUUAAAUGGAAUCCUUCCAGGAUUGAGAAAAAAUCUAGUCUAGAAAUUCUUAAAAAC
ensembl:lncRNA